AAAACUUUCAACAACGGAUCUCUGGGUUCCGGCGUCGAUGAAGAACGCAGCGAAAUGCGAAAAGUAAUGUGAAUUGCAGAAUUCAGUGAAUCAUCGAAUCUUUGAACGCACAUUGCGCCCUUUGGUAUUCCGAAGGGCAUGCCUGUUCGAGCGUCAUUG
rnacentral:rRNA from 1 species